rnacentral:rRNA from 1 species
GAUGAACGCUGGCGGCGUGCCUAAUACAUGCAAGUCGAGCGAACGGACGAGAAGCUUGCUUUUCUGAUGUUAGCGGCGGACGGGUGAGUAACACGUGGAUAACCUACCUAUAAGACUGGGAUAACUUCGGGAAACCGGAGCUAAUACCGGAUAAUAUUUUGAACCGCAUGGUGCAAAAGUGAAAGACGGUCUUGCUGUCACUUAUAGAUGGAUCCGCGCUGCAUUAGCUAGUUGGUAAGGUAACGGCUUACCAAGGCAACGAUGCAUAGCCGACCUGAGAGGGUGAUCGGACACACUGGAACUGAGACACGGUCCCGACUCCUACGGGAGGCAGCAGUAGGGAAUCUUCCGCAAUGGGCGAAAGCCUGACGGAGCAACGCAGCGUGAGUGAUGAAGGUCUUCGGAUCGUAAACCUCUGUUAUUAGGGAAGAACAUAUGUGUAAGUAACUGUGCACAUCUUGACGGUACCUAAUCAGAAAGCCACGGCUAACUACGUG